CUGUUCUUGAGACAAAAUUUUGUGGUAGCAAUGGACUGUUUUAUAAAAGCUUCAAAGUCAUACAGUGAGGAACUAAAAAGCAAUGGCAAUAACUGAGAAACAGAAAUUUUAGUAAGCCGGUUCUUCAUGUUUGGAGGCUCUGAGAUACUACGGAUCGAAGAGAGUAACCUUGUAUGCAUAGAAGUCUGCAGGGUUUGUUAUUGGCAGAAAGGCAGAAAAAUUGAUUGGACUUCAAAAGCAGAGUAGUGCCAAAGGGGUUGGACUGGGUUUAUGCUUCUGGUUCCUUUGAACUGCUUUCUUCAGGUUACUUCUGAAAAAUCAGGAAUUUAGGGGGGAAUCUAGGACAUGUGGAGCUGUAUUGGCAGAAGAAUGUAAUGAAUUCAGUGAAAGGAGAUAAGCAUUUCUAGUCUUUAUCAAAUAACUUUAUCAGUGCUCUUCAUUUAGAAGAUGAAGGACUCUGCGUCUUUAGAAUGCUUUCAUCUCGGUACCUUCAAAGAGAAAUUGGGUCUGUGUUUCCCUGUGGCUGUGAGCAGCAGGGCAAGUACUCUGUUUUGCUGCCUUCUAACAAGAUGAACCUGUUCUGUGGAGCAAACACUGAUUUCCCACCUCUUUUGCUCAGCUUCUAUUGUCUGCUUCUUAUCGUAGAUGGAUUCAUAUGGAAGCAAGUACAGAGUGUGAUAUAGGCUAACCCCAGGACAGUGUAGUGGGGAGUUAAAACCGACACAAGAGUUCUCGUGAGAAGAUUAACAUAUUCAGAACAAAGGAAGAAGAGACAACUAAAAACCCCACGCCAGCAGGCUCCUAGCAAAAGUGGGCAAACCAUCCCUUGGGAAGCAGAAAAUUGCCCAGUUCUGCUAAGCUAGUAACUUCUCUGACACAUUAUGAAGCUUACAAAAAUAAGGCUGAAAUGGGCCCUUGCAGUGAUCAGCUAGUCCGUCUGCCCACCCUGGGUCGGCCAGCCACAGCUGCCCGAGACCUGGCUGCUGUCUGCCAGUUUUCAAACAGGGCUUCUUCACUAGAAGGUAGCAGUGAAUGGCACUGCGGCUCUUCUCUUCCGUUUUGCCAGGUUUCUGGCCACAUACGAAGCUGAAAAUUAAUGAUUUUGUUCACUGUGGAAAUACCUAAUGUGAUGUGCUUAAACGGCAAAGGCUACUGUGAACUGAGCAUCCCUUGUGGUAGGUGGAAACUCUACUUGAAUGGUAACUACAGCUCAAUACAUGCCUGCCUUGUCUACUGGGAAGCAUUAACACUGGGAGCUGCAGUCUUCAUGAAUUGCUCUGAACCUCAAUGUUUAAUAAGUAACAUGGAAAAGCUUAAAUGAAGCAGUCAUUUUUACAUUCAGAAUCUUUUGAAGAUCUUGAUUUUUAUUUCUCCUCAUUCUGCAAAAGUUCUAUCAAUUCUAAUAGCAUUACACAGAAAUUAGUGUAAGAAGUUGUAACAGUUGGCAUUCAUUCUCGGGAAAAUCUGUAGGAUUUACCAUCAGUGUUCUGUUUAUAUCCUACGUUGUGCAUAUACGUUUGAACUUUAAGAACCUGAAAUAAAUGGCUUUUGGGAAA